GAGUCGGGCCGGCGGCGGCGGCGGCGGCGGCGGCGGCGGCGGCGGCUCGGAUCGCGGAGAAUGCGCGACCGACCGGGGGCUUGCGAGCGAGACGCGCCGGGCCGCUCAGGGCCCCGCCCCGGGCCCGGAGGCCCCGCCCACGGCCGCGACGCGGGGCAGGAGCUGCGCUGGCCCCUUCCUGACGCACCUGAGCAGUUCCAGUUGCCGCAGGAGGCUGAGCUUCUCUUUCUGCAUGUUCCUCGAGACCGCGACCACGUCUCUGCAGGACGGAGGUGAUGAUUUGGGUGCAGGGAGGCUCCUCGGGGUGCCCCACGACCCCCUGGAGGACCCUGCCCCACGGAGACCCUGGAGGCGGGGCUGGGACAGGGUGGGAUGGAAGCCCUGAGCUCCAAGCGCGACCCUUCUCGGGGUCCGCCCCUGAGUGCCCGCCCCCCCCCAGCCCCCCACCCCCGGCACCGUUGGGUUUGCUCCCGACGGCCCAGCAAGUCGCUCUCCAGUCUGCGGAGCUGCUCUUGCGCCACUUCCAGUUGCGCCCGCAGCGCCUCGUUGGCCAGCCACAGCUGGGCGUUCUGCGCCUGCGCCUCCAGCUGCUCGGUGGUACGGGCCUGCAGCUGCUGUUCCAACUGGGGUGUGGGGGGGAUCGAGGCUGGAGAGAACCCCCCCACGUCCCCGGGAUGCUGCGUUUGCCCCUGACUCCCAACAAUUCCGGGGCUGGGAACAUAGGCCCAAGGGCCUCAAGGACGCCGGGGAGUGCAUGGGGGACGGUGAGGAUGGGGCCUGGGCUGGACCGCUGUGCACGCCUCCCGGCCGGGACCGCCCGGCAGCCGCUCACCUCCCGCUGCCGCAGCCCCGCGCGUUCCAGCUCCUGCUCGCGACUCUGCAGCUCCAGCUCUAGGCGGCCUCUCCGCUCCUCCCGGGGGACGUCCUAGGAUGGGCGGGGACACCUGAGCCCCCGCGGGCGGCGGAGCGGCAGGGGCGCGGGUGGGACCACUUCGGAGAAGGCGGGGCCGGGGAGGCCCGCGCGUCCGGGGUUGGGCUGGGCGCGGGGCGGCGCUGCGGGCCCACCUGACUCCGCAGGCGCUGGCGCUGCUCGCGAAGUUGCUGCUCCAUAUCUUCGUACAGACAUCGCACCUCCCUCUCGUGCUCGCUCUCCCGCCUUCGGGAAACCGGGGGUGAGACAGCUGCUUAGAACCUGCCAACAGUACAGCCCUCGGCCCCGCCUCUACCACCUCGCAGAACCCCUCCACCUGGCCCUCAGGCCGCCCCCAGCCCGCCAGCCCUCACCGCCGCAGCGCCUGCUCCAGGCCCUCCCGCUCUCGGGCCGCUUCCUCCAGGCAGGCCGACGCCCGCAUCAGAACGUCCUCGAAGGAGCCCAGCAGUUCGGGUCGCUCACGCUGCAGCUGGGUCCAGAGCGUCCGAAUUGCCCGCUGCCUGGGGGUGGGGGUGGGGAGGGCAGAGGCUGAAGCUGAAGCGGGGACUCCCCACCCCACCCUGCAGGGUAAGAAGCCCCCAGAGGCCCCCGUAGUCUUGCACAAGCAGGGCAUCCCUCUCCUGGGUGCUUUCACCCUUGCGGGGGUCUGUGCCUGUGCGGGGCUUGUGUGGCCAGGAGGUGUGUGUGCGUGGGGUUGUGUCCUUGUGUACACAGGGCUGUGCCUGUGCUGGGCGCAGCCCUGGCUGCUGCCUCCUGAAAUGCAAAUUCUGUGGGAAAUCACGCCCGGCACGCAGUAGCUGCAGCUGAGAGGGAAGGACCGGCCCAGACCCGGCCUAGGGACCCUGCCUGGGAACAGACACGCAGGCGACGCGGACAGGCAGCAUGCAGGUGGACGUGAGGGUGAUGGGACCCGGGCCAGCACCGACUCACUCGCCCAGGACCCGGGCCACCCCCAGCUGCACCAGUGCAGAGCAGAAUCUCUCCUCCUCCUCCUCCUCCUCCUCCUCGUCCUCCUCCUCCAGGGAGCCCCCGGUGCCUUGCACAUCCGACCAGCCCGCCUCGAAGGUUUCCUCUGGAGCCUGGGAGGGCAGAGCACCCGGGGCAGGCUCCACCCCCACCAAUUUCCCUGCGGGCAUGGGAGGGAGAGAUCACCGCGCUGUGGCUUACCACCCGCAGCCCAGCCCACCCCCGCCCCCCGCGUAUCCUGCCCUUUCUCUGAGCCCAGUUUCCUGUUUUUCUUCCUUAUUUUGGUCCAAUUCUUGUCCUGGGAAUGGGAGGUGACGGCUGGGCUCAGGCCAAAAUGCGGCAUGCCUGGCUCCCAGCCCCACCUGGGUUUGGCUCAGGGAGCAGGUCAUCUCCACAUAUGCCACAGCAUCUGGGGGGCUUCCCGUGGCGCCUGGGUGUACAGACACCGGCCUGUGCUCCGGAGGGAGGCCAGGGAGAAGCACGGGCUGCCACCCAUGUGGGCUGUGGGCCCCAGAGAGUCCCACAUGUCCCAGCGGAGGGCGUCUGAGCAGUGGGGUAGGGGGUGGGGCUCAGGGGCCGGGCUCACCCAGGCCAAGGCAGAACUCCCGAGCGGUGAGGAAGCCGGUGUGCGCCUGGUCCAGACUUUCGAACACAGCCUCCAGCUGUUCGGGCGUGAGGGGCAGGUCGCUCUGCAGGCCCUGGCCGGGCAAGGAUGGCAAGGCUGAGUAGCCAAGGUCAGCCCUGGGGUGGAAGGCCUCUUGGGGCUGGGGGCUCACCUGCAGGUCGUGCCGGGUGAUGAAGCCCUUGGCCUCCUUGUCGCACAGCAGAAACAGCUCCUGGGCCUGCUCCAGUGUCGCUGCCAGUGGCCCUGGGCCGCGCCCCUCAUCCCACCCUUCCUCCUCCUGGGCCUCCCCAGCCCCAGGCUUCCCGGGGCUGGCCAUGGCGGGGGUCUCAGCCUUGGGCGCUGUGAAGCCAAAGAGAAGUCAGGGCCUGAGCAGAACUGAGAAAUGAGGGGAGAGGAGAAGCGGAGGCAGAGAGGUGUGUGCCCCAAGGGGCCCCGGAGUCCCUGACCACGACACGCGGGGAUCGGCGCGCCUUGCGGUGACAGGACGGAGCCAAUGCGGGCGUGCGGACGGGCCGGGCGCCUACCUGCGAGUUUCGCCACCGCACCCGCCACACACUAGGCUGUUCUCCUGCGGGCACCGGGACCCCGGCAGCGCCGGCCCGGGCGGAGCCGCCGCCGUGUCCCCGCCUCUCGGCAUUGCCCCGGUGGCCCAGCGCUCGCCUCAUAGCCCGCCCCCCCCCCCCCCCCCGCGCAUACGGCCCGACCCCCGAGUGUCUGUCCUGGCAGAGUCCGAGCGCAUAGUGGGGGGAUGACCCUGGGGACCCUUCCUGCACAGGGCCAAAGUUGGGGGGCAGUCCUGAGGAUCCCGAUUUAAGGCGUCAAAGUGUGUGCAGGAAAAAGGCAGGAAAUAGACCAAAAUAUUUUCAAUGGUUUUCUCUAGAAGUGGGGUGACUUUCCUUUCUUCCCUGUACUUCUCCAAUUUUUUUUCCAUUUUUAAACAAUAAACGUAUA